rnacentral:rRNA from 1 species
AUGAACGCUGGCGGCGUGCCUAAUACAUGCAAGUCGAGCGAACGGACGAGAAGCUUGCUUCUCUGAUGUUCGCGGCGGACGGGUGAGUAACCCGUGGAUAACCUACCUAUAAGACUGGGAUAACUUCGGGAAACCGGAGCUAAUACCGGAUAAUAUUUUGAACCGCCUGGUUCAAAAGUGAAAGACGGUCUUGCUGUCACUUAUAGAUGGAUCCGCGCUGCAUUAGCUAGUUGGUAAGGUAACGGCUUACCAAGGCAACGAUGCAUAGCCGACCUGAGAGGGUGAUCGGCCACACUGGAACUGAGACACGGUCCAGACUCCUACGGGAGGCAGCAGUAGGGAAUCUUCCGCAAUGGGCGAAAGCCUGACGGAGCAACGCCGCGUGAGUGAUGAAGGUCUUCGGAUCGUAAAACUCUGUUAUUAGGGAAGAACAUAUGUGUAAGUAACUGUGCACAUCUUGACGGUACCUAAUCAGAAAGCCACGGCUAACUACGUG